UGUAUUUAUUAGAUUAAAAACCAAUGCCCUUCGGGGCUCCUUGGUGAUUCAUAAUAACUUAACGAAUCGCAUGGCCUUGUGCCGGCGAUGGUUCAUUCAAAUUUCUGCCCUAUCAACUUUCGAUGGUAGUAUAUGGGACUACCAUGGUUUCAACGGGUAACGGGGAAUUAGGGUUCUAUUCCGGAGAGGGAGCCUGAGAAACGGCUACCACAUCCAAGGAAGGCAGCAGGCGCGCAAAUUACCCAAUCCCGACACGGGGAGGUAGUGACAAUAAAUACUGAUACAGGGCUCUUUUGGGUCUUGUAAUUGGAAUGAGUACAAUUUAAAUCCCUUAACGAGGAACAAUUGGAGGGCAAGUCUGGUGCCAGCAGCCGCGGUAAUACCAGCUCCAAUAGCGUAUAUUAAAGUUGUUGCAGUUAAAAAGCUCGUAGUUGAACCUUGGGCCUGGCUGGCCGGUCCGCCUCACCGCGUGCACUGGUCCGGCCGGGCCUUUCCUUCUGGAGAGCCCCAUGCCCUUCACUGGGCGUGUGGGGGAACCAGG
rnacentral:rRNA from 1 species